ACUUGCGGAUCCUGCUCCCCUUCCCACUUCUGCACUUGGGGGUCUAAUGAGGCCUCAGUGGAACAUAGAAUUCCUCCCGCCCUGACAUCAUAGCUCCCGCCUGGGAGGCCUCCUGGAUGACUCCUUUCGCCUCCUCCCUUCCCUGAGAGCAGCCCCUGGCUCAACCUCCACCUCCGUGCUGCCUCGGACCACCUGCCCAGUCGAGCUGCCAUCACCUGCCAGGAGGUGUCAACUCCACGGUUGGUUUGCUUCUGUGCCCACCGACAGCCUCCCCUAGAGCACAGUGCCUGUUUGCUGCCCUGUAGGCUGUGAGCACUCACUCUAGUUGAGCCCCUGAGGGGCAGGGGCAAGGGCAGAGGAGAUGGAGUCCAGGAGCUGCAGGUGCAGUCACCUUCCCAUGUACCUCCCACACAUGCAGCUGUGAGAACCACACGGCAUAAAGGGUGGCUGGGCCAGGCCACCCCACGCGUCCUCAUCACCCCUGGGCCUUUCCAAGGAGAUGGCUCCAGGUGUCCAGCAAACACCAUUUGACUGCCCAGAAAGGAAGUAUUAUCAUAGGCUCAGAGCAGCUUUUGGUAAUUUCUUUCCUCUCACACCAAGGCAUUGUGUGCGCACGUGUGUGUGUGUGUGUGUGUGUGUGUGUGUUUUAAUUUUUAUUUUAGAGACAGGGUUUUGCUGUGUUGCUCAGGCUUGUCUUGAACUUCUGGGCUCGUGUGCUGCGAUUACAGGGUGAGCCACUGCGCCUGAUCAAGGCAUCACCGUUGAACCUCCUAAGAGGAAAACAUAAGGCUGUGCAAUACCAGGAACUGGGAUUCUAGGUUGCCCCAGACACCAAGGCAUCAAAAGCCAGGGGAUCCAGAGAAAACACAGACAGCCAAGAGAGAAACUGCGGGAAAAAGCCAAAAGGUUGAGAGCCACACCAUCUAGAAGCUUCCUGCCUGUGGUGCGGCACAGAAACAAGGAGAGUCAGCAAUUACCAGCCAGCCAAGGUCCUGGAAGCUGACGUAGAGCUCGUGCCGACGGCAGACCUGCCGGCCGUGGGAGCCGCGGACGUCAUCUGCAGGGACAGAAGGGGCAAGGUCUUUUCUGGGGUUCCUGCUGUGUGCAGCUACUAUGGGGUACCAGGGUGGGGGAUGCCCUGAUGAGCACAUUUGUCAAAUAAAUGAAUGACAGGAAACCAUUUGGUCUCAUAAAGCCCAUCCCUGGAACGCUGCUUGUACCAUGACCCAGCUCAAAAGCCUGCCAUGGCUCCCAAUGGCUAGAGUGACACUGUGCCCAGUCCUCCCCUGUCCUUCAGCCUAUGAGCGUCUUUAUGCUCCAGUAAACAGCCCAGCAGGACCCUCGGCCAUCCUGUGCCUCCUCCUCUCUGGAGACCCCUGUGACUCCAGCCCACCCUCUCCUGCCACACCCAUUCCCGAGGUUCAAGUGGCUCACGACCAGGCCAGUCAAGGGCCGACUCCCUGGUGAAGGAGGGCACGGGGUUGGGUCAGGCCUGUCCCUGAUCCUGAAGGGCUUGGCCCAGUUGGGGAGAAAACUCGCAUAAGCAACCGAGGAUCCCACAGGGUGCCCAGGCACAACCGCAGGUCAUGAGGGGCUGCGGCUCCCAGGGAAGGGGCAGCUGAUUCUGAAGGAGGCUCCUGAGAAAGACCCGGAGGAGCCAGGGGGAGAGAGGGAGACUUCUGGGCAGCAGGGACAGCCAGGACAGGCCUCCGGAGUGCCGGUCACCAGGGUGCAUCAGGGCCAAGAUGGUGUCAGGAAAGGUGGCUGGAGAGUGGCCGUCAGCUUGAACCGACCUGAGCCUGAGGGCUCUGGGCCACCACUUGGUUCUCGCCCUGCCUCUCU
rnacentral:lncRNA from 1 species